UACGGGGGGAGCAAGCGUUGUUCGGAUUUACUGGGCGUAAAGGGCGCGUAGGCGGUCGUGACAAGUCACUUGUGAAAUCUCCGGGCUUAACUCGGAACGGUCAAGUGAUACUGUCGGACUAGAGUACAGAAGGGGCAACUGGAAUUCUCGGUGUAGCGGUGAAAUGCGUAGAUAUCCGGAGGAACACCGGUGGCGAAGGCGGCUUCCUGGACCGAUACUGACGCUGAGGCGCGAAAGCUAGGGGAGCAAACGGG
rnacentral:rRNA from 1 species